CUAUUUCAGGGUCGGCCGCGCAACAAGAUCCUGAAUCUGACUUUAUGUUCUUGGGACAUUUAAGAGUUCAGGCUAAUAACCCAAUAACUACAUUUGUCUAUGAGGUUUUCUUGGUCAUUUGGGUCCUUUGUCUAACGACAAAAAACCGGGAAAUGGCGGAUGUUGCGCGCCUGGUAGCCGAUCUAAUUUUGUAACCAUCGAUAUAAUUU
rnacentral:telomerase_RNA from 1 species